UACGGAGGGUGCAAGCGUUGUCCGGAAUCACUGGGCGUAAAGGGCGCGUAGGCGGCUCGGUAAGUAGGGGGUGAAAUCCUGCGGCUCAACCGCAGGGCUGCCUUCUAAACUGUCGAGCUCGAGCACGGUAGAGGCAGAUGGAAUUCCCGGUGUAGCGGUGGAAUGCGUAGAGAUCGGGAAGAACAUCAGUGGCGAAGGCGGUCUGCUGGGCCGUUGCUGACGCUGAGGCGCGACAGCGUGGGGAGCCAACAGG
rnacentral:rRNA from 1 species